rnacentral:rRNA from 1 species
AGAUUGAACGCUGGCGGCAUGCCUUACACAUGCAAGUCGAUCGCGAAAGGGGGGCAACCCCCGAGUAGAGUGGCGAACGCGUGAGUAAUACAUUGGAACGUGUCCAGUAGCGGGGGAUAACCUCUCGAAAGAGAGGCUAAUACCGCAUACGACCUACGGGUGAAAGGAGGGGGAUCGCAAGACCUCUCACUAUUGGAGCGGCCGAUGUCGGAUUAGCUAGUUGGCGGGUAACGCCCACAAGGCGACGAUCCGUAGCUGGUCUGAGAGGACGACCAGCCACACUGGAACUGAGACACGUCCAGACUCCUACGGGAGGCAGCGAGGUGGGUAAUUUGGACAAGUGGGCGCAAGCCUGACUCCAGCCAUCGCCGCGUGAGUAGAAG